UACGUAGGGUGCGAGCGUUAUUCGGAUUCACUGGGCGUAAAGGGUGCGCAGGCGGCCGGGUGUGUCAGAUGUGAAAUCCCGAGGCUCAACCUCGGAACUGCGUCUGAAACUACUCGGCUAGAGUAUUGGAGAGGGUAACGGAAUUCACGGUGUAGCAGUGAAAUGCGUAGAUAUCGUGAGGAACACCAGAGGCGAAGGCGGUUACCUGGACAAUUACUGACGCUCAGGCACGAAAGCGUGGGGAGCAAAAGGG
rnacentral:rRNA from 1 species